AUUGAACGCUGGCGGCAGGCCUAACACAUGCAAGUCGAGCGGAGCGGCGGACGGGUGCGUAAUGCCUAGGAAUCUGCCUGGUAGUGGGGGAUAACGUCCGGAAACGGGCGCUAAUACCGCAUACUAUCAGAUGAGCCUAGGUCGGAUUAGCUAGUUGGUGGGGUAAAGGCCUACCAAGGCGACGUGCCGUACCUGGUCUGAGAGGAUGAUCAGUCAAUCUGGAAUUUGGACACGGCCCAGACCCCAAGGGGAGGCAGAAGUGGGGAAUAUUGGACAAGGGGCGAAAGCCUGAUCCAGCAAUGCCGCGGGUGUGAAGAAGGUCUUCGGUUUGUAAAGCACUUUAAGUUGGGAGGCGUUACCAACAGAGUAAGCACCGGCUAACUUCGUGCCAGCAGCCGCGGUAAUAC
rnacentral:rRNA from 1 species